rnacentral:rRNA from 1 species
GCGGCGUGCCUAAUACAUGCAAGUCGAACGAACUCUGGUAUUGAUUGGUGCUUGCAUCAUGAUUUACAUUUGAGUGAGUGGCGAACUGGUGAGUAACACGUGGGAAACCUGCCCAGAAGCGGGGGAUAACACCUGGAAACAGAUGCUAAUACCGCAUAACAACUUGGACCGCAUGGUCCGAGUUUGAAAGAUGGCUUCGGCUAUCACUUUUGGAUGGUCCCGCGGCGUAUUAGCUAGAUGGUGAGGUAACGGCUCACCAUGGCAAUGAUACGUAGCCGACCUGAGAGGGUAAUCGGCCACAUUGGGACUGAGACACGGCCCAAACUCCUACGGGAGGCAGCAGUAGGGAAUCUUCCACAAUGGACGAAAGUCUGAUGGAGCAACGCCGCGUGAGUGAAGAAGGGUUUCGGCUCGUAAAACUCUGUUGUUAAAGAAGAACAUAUCUGAGAGUAACUGUUCAGGUAUUGACGGUAUUUAACCAGAAAGCCACGGCUAACUACGUGCCAGCAGCCGCGGUAAUACGUAGGUGGCAAGCGUUGUCCGGAUUUAUUGGGCGUAAAGCGAGCGCAGGCGGUUUUUUAAGUCUGAUGUGAAAGCCUUCGGCUCAACCGAAGAAGUGCAUCGGAAACUGGGAAACUUGAGUGCAGAAGAGGACAGUGGAACUCCAUGUGUAGCGGUGAAAUGCGUAGAUAUAUGGAAGAACACCAGUGGCGAAGGCGGCUGUCUGGUCUGUAACUGACGCUGAGGCUCGAAAGUAUGGGUAGCAAACAGGAUUAGAUACCCUGGUAGUCCAUACCGUAAACGAUGAAUGCUAAGUGUUGGAGGGUUUCCGCCCUUCAGUGCUGCAGCUAACGCAUUAAGCAUUCCGCCUGGGGAGUACGGCCGCAAGGCUGAAACUCAAAGGAAUUGACGGGGGCCCGCACAAGCGGUGGAGCAUGUGGUUUAAUUCGAAGCUACGCGAAGAACCUUACCAGGUCUUGACAUACUAUGCAAAUCUAAGAGAUUAGACGUUCCCUUCGGGGACAUGGAUACAGGUGGUGCAUGGUUGUCGUCAGCUCGUGUCGUGAGAUGUUGGGUUAAGUCCCGCAACGAGCGCAACCCUUAUUAUCAGUUGCCAGCAUUAAGUUGGGCACUCUGGUGAGACUGCCGGUGACAAACCGGAGGAAGGUGGGGAUGACGUCAAAUCAUCAUGCCCCUUAUGACCUGGGCUACACACGUGCUACAAUGGAUGGUACAACGAGUUGCGAACUCGCGAGAGUAAGCUAAUCUCUUAAAGCCAUUCUCAGUUCGGAUUGUAGGCUGCAACUCGCCUACAUGAAGUCGGAAUCGCUAGUAAUCGCGGAUCAGCAUGCCGCGGUGAAUACGUUCCCGGGCCUUGUACACACCGCCCGUCACACCAUGAGAGUUUGUAACACCCAAAGUCGGUGGGGUAACCUUUUAGGAACCAGCCGCCUAAGGUGGGACAGAUGAUUAGGG